rnacentral:misc_RNA from 1 species
GUAUACUUUUUUUUGUUGCACAAAACAUGCGCUACAUGCUCGCGUUGAAAAAGACAGUUCACUGUGUUGGAGAUGAUGCCGAGCGGAGGACCCGCUGACAGACUCGAUAAUGAUCCUUCCGCAGGUUCACCUACGGAAA